CAGUGUUGGGAUUAAUUCCUUUCACGUGCACGCUCUGCUUAUCUUCUUGUGCCUCUUGUGUGCUUAUUUUCUAGGUACCUGUCACUAACUCAGCCCUCAACUUUCCAACAAAAUUAAAACUAUCACAACUGCCAGCUGCUCCAGAGCCAUCUUUACAAAGUGUGGACCAUCAGGAACCAUGUCCAUGACUGUGAGAGUUCUUACAGACACCUGUGAGUGCUUUAACAGAUGCACACUCUUGGAAGAAUGUGACAGCAAUACAAAUCCUCCAUGUGUACUGUGGUGGUGGUGCACACCUGCAAUCCCAGCACUUGGGAGGCAAAAGCAGGAGGUUCAUAAGUUCAAGACCAGCCUGGGCUACAUAG